AUGGCGACCGUUUUGGAGGGUCUUGUUUCGAGCUCGUUGGGCAAGUUGGGACAGCUGGUGGAGGAUGAGGUCGUGAUGACAUUAUGUGUGGGAAGGGAUAUCAGGAAGCUCCAGCACAAUCUGGAAACCUUCAGGGCAGUUCGUCAGGAUGCGGAGGCUUUGGCCAUGAGAGAUGAAGGGACCAAAUUAUGGUGGAAGCGCGUCAGUGAUGUUAUGUUCAAUGUUGAUGAUGUCGUAGAUCUUUUUAUGGCUCAUUCAUAUACCCGACCAAGAUCGCCGCCAUGCUGCUCCAUGUUUUCUUGUUUUCCAAAGCUUUUGCUUGACCACAGAGUAGCUACAAGGAUCAAGGACAUAAACACGGAGCUUGAGGAGAUUAGAGGGACAACAGAGAUGUAUACCCCGGGGAGACCCGCAUCUCCACCGCCCGAGAUAACAAUUGUGGAUACAAGACAGACAGUUCGUAUAGUUGAACCAGGGGUUGUUGGAACAGCUAUCACACGUUAUGCUGAUUCCAUGGUACAAGCUAUUGUCAGUAGGUGCCAGAAUAAUGAGCCAAGUGUUUUUGGCAUUGAAGGGAUGGGAGGCAUCGGCAAGACAACACUAGCUCAGAAGAUAUACUGGGAGCAGAGCAUACGGAAGGAAUUCCAGAUUCAUAUAUGGCUGUGCAUUUCUGAGACCUACACCAUAACUGAUUUGCUGAAGCAGGCAAUAAGAAUGGCUGGAGGGAAGUGUGAUCAGCUAGAGACCGACACUGAGCUUCUGCUUGGCCUAAAAGACACAAUCCAAGGAAAGAGUGUUUUUCUUGUAUUGGAUAAUGUGUUUCUGCCUGAUGUCUGGAUCAGUCGUCUUCGGUUAGCCUUUAUGGGAGCCUUGAAAGUCGGCGUCCUUGUCACCACAAGAAGCCAUGAAGUUUUGCUGGCAAUGAACACAGCAUAUAUUCAGCCGGUACACAGAAUGAGUGAGGCUGAUGGCCUGAUGCUGCUUAUGAAGAAUUCAUUCCAACAUCCUGAUGGUAAAUUCCGGGAGCUGGGGCUUGCAAUUGUGAGAAAGUGUGAUGGCCUUCCUCUUGCCAUCAAGGCCGUUGCAGGCGCUCUGUCUAGCAGAAAAACAGAGGAGGAGUGGAAGAAGAUCCGAGAUUGCCAAUGGUCUAUUGAUGGACUCCCCGCUGGAGUAGCCGGGGCACUGUAUGUAAGUUACAGAAACCUGCCCCAUGAACUGAAGCAGUGCUUCCUCUGGUGUGCUCUGUUGCCUCCGAGCUUUGACAUAUGGCGUGACGCUGUUGCUUACUGGUGGGUUGCCGAGGGUUUUGUGAGGAAAGAAGAUGGGUGCUCAAUACAUCAGACCGCUGAAAGGUACUACUAUGAGCUAAUUAGGAGGAACCUUUUGCAGCCAAAACCGGAGACCGUGGACCAGGCUGUGUCAACGAUUCAUGAUGUACUGAGGUCGCUUGGACAACAUCUGACAAAGGAUCACUCCUUGUUCAUGAAUGUGAAGAAAGAUUACUCCACGUUCAUGAAUGUGGAAAAUAGCAGAGCCCUGCCAAAUUUACGCCGCCUAGGGAUCAGCAGCGCUGUAGAAGAACUACCAGCUCUAGAAGAGCACAGGUGCUUGAGGACACUCCUGCUUUUCGAUAACAAGAACUUCAAGUCGAUUCGCAGCGACACUUUCAGAAAGCUCCAGCAUGUCCGUGUCUUGGUUCUCCGUGGAACAAGCAUCCAGAACAUACCAGAGUCAUUGGGGGACUUGGUGCUGCUCAAGCUGCUAGACCUGAGCUAUACGGAAAUUAACAAACUUCCAAGGUCCAUAGGUAAGCUCAUAAGCCUUGAGUACCUCUGUUUGCUUGGUUGCCGUGAGUUGCAUAGCCUGCCGGCUGGUCUGAUGGGACUACCAAACAUAAGUUUCCUUGAGCUAGACCAGGUUGCACUUCAUCAUGUUCCCAAAGGGAUUGCAAAUUUUCAGCAUCUCUACAGCCUCAGAGGAGUUUUUGAGAGCGAGACUGGGUUCAGAUUGGAUGAACUGCGAGACCUCCACAAUGUCCGGCGUCUGUGGGUUGAUAAGCUUGAGAAAGCUACACCAAGGGGUGAGCUUGUGCUGAAGAACAGUCGUAAUCUUAGAGAACUGGGACUCCAAUGCACCAGUACUCGCUACGAUGCUGAUGAGCUCGAGAGGAUCCAGCGAGUCUAUGACACACUUGUUCCAUCAACAAGCCUAGCAUAUCUUUUUCUUGUCGGAUUCCCGGGCUCAGCGUUCCCAGAAUGGUUGCUUACCGAACCAGAGCUUAAUAUGCCAAAUUUAUGCCUAAUGCACCUCAAUGAGUGCAUACCAUGCUCAGUGCUGCCACCAGCAGGUCAGAUGCCAGAGCUGCUAGAGCUUAAGAUUCAAGGCGCAGAUGAAGUUGUCUCUAUUGGCACAGAGCUCUUGGGGAAAGGUGUCGCCAGUGCUGCCGCCUUCUUCCCAAAGCUUGAACUUCUCCUAAUCAUUCGCAUGCGCAAUUUGGAGAAAUGGUCCCUCAACACAAGAGAUGUGUGCGAUGGCAACCAUCAACAGUUCUCUCUGAUGCCUUGCCUUCAACGGCUGCUGCUUCUUGAUUGUCCAAAACUGACGGCUCUUCCUCCGGACUUGUCCAAGAUUGUCAACCUCAAGAGAAUCCACAUUGAAGGUGCUCAUGAGCUGAAAGAAGUUGUCAACCUUCCUGCAGUUGUGUGGCUCAAGCUCAAGGACAACAGAAGUCUGAUGAAGAUCUCCAAUCUCGGUAAGCUGCAGGACCUGUUAGUGCAGGAUUGCCCAGCACUGGACCUGGCAGAGAGCCUUUGCUCGCUGGAACGCCUGUACAUGAUAGACUGCCCGCAUGCCCAAGAGUUCAGGAAUGGUCUUUCAGGAGAAGGCGUCCUAGUCCAUAUUGCAACACAUGGCCACAAUAUCUUCCCGGGUGAAACUCUCUAUAAUUAG
rnacentral:rRNA from 1 species